GAUCAAAUCAAGCGCGAAAAGGGCGUUUGGUGAAUGCCUUGGCAGUAAGAGGCGAUGAAAGACGUGAUACUCUGCGAUAAGCCAUGGGGAGCUGAGAAUAAGCUUUGAUCCAUGGAUUUCUGAAUGGGGCAACCCACCUGAUUGUUUGUUAUUAUUGCUUCGCAAUAUGUACGCUCCGCGCCGACCUUUGGUCGGUACACCGAUCCUUCUGGAUCGGCACUGGGGCUUGCAGCGGCGCAGUUAAUAAUGAGCAAAACCAGGUAUUUUUAGGCUGAAUAUAUAGGCUUAAAAAGGCAAACCCGGGGAACUGAAACAUCUAAGUACCCGGAGGAAAGGAAAUCAAUAUGAUACUCCCCUAGUAGCGGCGAGCGAACGGGGACCAGCCGAGCCAUGAGUGUGGUUAGAAUGCGUUGGAAUGCGCAACCAAAGUGGGUGAUAGUCCCGUAUAAGAAGCAUGAUUGGACGUAUUAAGUAGGGCGGAACA
rnacentral:rRNA from 1 species